GCUGACGGGCCGACUGGGCGGCCCCGGGCCGCGGCCGCCCUUAAGUCCGCGCCGCCCGCGCAUGCGUCGUCCACCCACUAGGACGCUUGGAGGGCGCGGCCACGCCACCGCCCGCUUUACUUCCGCGCAGCCUGGCCUCCCAGCUACGCAUGCGCCGCCUGCCUAUCUCGGGGAGUCUGGGUCGCUAAGAAGGAAGGUCAGCCCGACGCUGAGGGCCUCCGCGAGUUUAGGUAGUCAUUCAUCUGCAUAAUGACCAUUAAGGCGUCAUUCCGCCUGGAUGGACUGUCCCGGGCGCCACGAGGCAAGCAGUCCUCAGCCAAGGGCCUGCAGCGAAACUCCAGCCGGAGAGAGCCUGCGUCUGCGGCACCCAGAGUGAUUUUCAACUUUCUCCAAGUUGGGCAACAUGUCUGCCAGUAACAGGAGCAGCAAGAGGGACUUCGAGAUGGUACCUGCAGUAGGAAAAGAACCCUGAAGUCCAGGCAGUCAGCUGCUAUGUCAUGGGUAUCCAGUGGCCACUCUGGAGCUGUCAGUGGGGAACUGAGACCUCCUGCCAAGUCAUGUGUGCCAGCCACUGUGUGAUCAGACCCCCAGCCUCCUGCAACUGAAGCCUCAAGUGACAAUCUGAGUGGGAAAGACUCAGCCUGAAGCCCCGUGCUGAGCCAUCCUGUCCUAAUUCUCAGGAACUCUGUAAAGCAAUCUUAUACGUGCUGUUUAGUUGUUUUGUAAAGCCCCAGUAACUGUUUAGAGCGACACUGAGCUCACCCUUCCACUUGGGGGCGCUGUCGUACAGCGGUACAGCCUAUGAAUCCCUCCUCAACAGGCUAAGGAGAAACACUUCCAUGGGACUCAGACCCACAAAUCAAGUUGUCACUGGACACUUGUGAGUUAAGUACUUUACCUUUUAAAUAUACAAUUCGAUUUUCAUGAUUAGUAAGGUUUGUCACAAUAUCCCAUUCAUAUCCCAUCGAGCAGAUUGAGUAUCCCACAUGACAUUUGUUAAUUGCUUUGAUUUUUGACAGCUAAAAAUCAUACCACAAUGACAUAUGCUUUCAAAUGAGUACUUAUGAUUCAAAUUUUUCAAAUUUAUAGUCUUUUUACUAGCAUUGUAUAAAAAUAUCAGAAGCAAGCUUUUCCCUUAACUUUCCCCUCAGUUGUGAUCAACAAAGAUUUACAUUUAAAAAUGUGGUUUUGGUUUACACCAAUUUCUUGCUGGAGAAAAAUGAGUGACCUCUUCAUCUCUGUUAUAGUGAGAACUGGGAGGUUAUGAAUGAUACUUUGUAGUCCAGUUAGCCAAGGAUUACUUAAAUGUUUCAUUAUGGAAAGGAAACCAUUCUUGCCAAGCAUAAUUUGAGCUUGAGUUCCAAAAGUUAUCUCAUUAAUAAUUUUAAAUGUAUGAUAUAAUCAGAACAAGUGGCAGCUCCAGGCUUAUCAUCCAAUGGUGCUGAUUUUAUUUUAUCUUUUGUUCUGUCAUUUUGGUUGACACAAAGGAUAAAAAUGUAGGUGCAGGGGCAGCUGAGCUGGUUUAGCUCCAUGAAAUGGGGCAUCUAAGAGUCAAUCUCUUAUCUCUGAUAACCACUCCACCCUGGUGCCCAAUGAGAAUAAAAUGCUGGACCAGGGAGCUACCCUUAGCCCUGAUUCUCUGGCUGCUCUUGGGAUGGGGGCGGGAUGUGGGCUUCUCAACCCAGAUAGAAAUCAGUUGUUUUCAGUUUUGGAGGCUCAGGGGAGGGAAAGGAAGCAGAAAACACAGGGUAAGAAAAAGCUCAAUUGUUCUGUACGUGCUUUAGGCUGGGGUUGAGAUGUUCAGUGAGGCUCAGUGAAGCAAGGAAGGAUAUCCCCAGUGAGAAGGUUGCCGCCAAGUAGCUUGCCUCACAGGCUCCCUGCUCUUUACAGGAGUGUAGGAGAUCAGGCUGCUGCACACAUCCCUGGCCUCAGCACCCACUUCAAGAUUCUCUCUUUCUCACCACCUUCCAUGGACUCUUCCCUGCGUCCCUGCAUGUGGGUCCUCUUCCUGGAAUGGCUGAGUAUGCCCAUAUCCCUUGGCCAUACUCAGCUUGUGGUCAUCAGCAGGGGGUGAAGGAAAUCUGAAAGUCUCUGAAUGAAGCAGGUAGACUGCAAAAGGAAAAUCCUUUUCAUGUCUUUUAAUUAAAAAAAAAUAAAAACAACAACAACAACAAAUGAAGGUGAUGUGUUAGCUACUUUUCCUGUCACUGGGACAAAAUCCUUCCCACAAAAACAACUUUAACUGCUGUCUAUUGAACCCCAGCAUUGACCUAUCACCCAGUCACACUGUGCUGCUACUGAACAUUGUUCUAUGGUUAAAAAUAUAUAUAACUGAAAAAAUUUUUAAAGCAGCUUAAGAAACUUUGGAUCAUAGUUGAGGGUACAGUCCAUCAUGGUGGGAAGUGAUGGUGACAGGGGUGUGAGGUGCUGGUCACACUGCAUUCACGGAAGGAAAUGAAUGCUGGCACUCAGAUCAGUUCCUCCUUUUAUUCGUCCUCAGCCAUGAGAUGGUGCUGUCCAUUAGGAUGGGACUUCCCACCUCAAUCUCAUCUAGAUAAUCCCUCACAGACACACCCAAGCCACAAAUCCCAGUUUGCAUACAGUUCCUUAAAGAAUAAGAGAAGUCUUCUGCUGAGGAUGACAGCAUGGAACUGAGCAUCUGUCCAUGUUACAGCCAAUAGGAUGAAUAUGAGAAGCUGCCUAAAUGCUCUUGUGACCCUGUGGGCAAUACAGGAACCACUAUCACAAAGCACAAGAGCUUCUCACUUGCCUGGAACUCCAUCAUGCUACACUGGCUGGUUAUGGGUCAGGAUCUAUCUUUGUCUGCUUUCUUCAUAUGGGAUUACAAACCCACAGCACCAGGUCAAGUUCUUUCUUUCUCUUUUUCUUUUCUUUCUUUUUUCAUCUCUUUUCUUUUCUUUCCUUUUUGAUGUGAGUUAUGGGAAUGAACCAGGUCCAAGUACUUUUCUGCCUGGACUAUGUCCUAGCCCUAAGUCCUAAGUUUUCACUUUAAAAUGUAUUUGUUUUUAAGUGUAUGUAUGUUUGUGUAUGGGUGUG